rnacentral:rRNA from 1 species
CACUCUUAGCGGGGGAUCACUAGGCUCGUGGGUCGAUGAAGAACGCAGCAAACUGCGUGAAGUUAUGUGAACUGCAGGACACAUGAACAUCAACAUUUUGAACGCAUAUUGCGGUCUAUGCUA